rnacentral:pre_miRNA from 1 species
GGACUGUUAGGUUUUGCACUCAGUAACAAGGAUUCAUCCUCGUUUCUGGCAAAUAACGGGGAGAAUCUUUGUCACUAAGUGCAAUUAAUAGCUGUUC